rnacentral:rRNA from 1 species
UACGAAGGGUGCAAACGUUGCUCGGAAUUAUUGGGCGUAAAGAGCUCGUAGGCGGUUUGUUGCGUCGGCUGUGAAAUCCCGAGGCUCAACCUCGGGUCUGCAGUCGAUACGAGCAAACUAGAGUGUUGCAGGGGAGACUGGAAUUCCUGGUGUAGCGGUGAAAUGCGUAGAUAUCAGGAGGAACACCGGUGGCGAAGGCGGGUCUCUGGGCAACAACUGACGCUGAGGAGCGAAAGCGUGGGGAGCAAACAGG